GAUGAACGCUGGCGGCGUGCCUAAUACAUGCAGGUCGAGCGAACGGACGAGAAGCUUGCUUCUCUUAUGUUAGCGUCGGACGGGUGAGUAACACGUGGAUAACCUACCUAUAAGACUGGGAUAACUUCUGGAAACCGGAGCUAAUACCUGAUGAUAUUUUGAACCGCAUGGUUCAAAAUUUAAAGACGGUCUUGCUGUCACUUAUAGAUGGAUCCGCGCUGCAUUAGCUAGUUGGUAAGGUAACGGCUUACCAAGGCAACGAUGCAUAGCCGACCUGAGAGGGUGAUCGGCCACACUGGAACUGAGACACGGUCCAGACUCAUACGGGAGGCAGCAGUAGGGAAUCUUCAGCAAUGGGCGAAAGCCUGACGGAGAAACGCCGCGUGAGUGAUGAAGGUCUUCGGAUCGUAAAACUCUGUUAUUAGGGAAGAACAUAUGUGUAAGUAACUGUGCACAUCUUGACGGUACCUAAUCAGAAAGCAACGGCUAACUACGUG
rnacentral:rRNA from 1 species